rnacentral:rRNA from 1 species
UACAGAGGUCUCAAGCGUUGUUCGGAUUCAUUGGGCGUAAAGGGUGCGUAGGUGGCGCGGUAAGUCGGGUGUGAAAUUUCGGAGCUUAACUCCGAAACUGCAUUCGAUACUGCCGUGCUUGAGGACUGGAGAGGAGACUGGAAUUUACGGUGUAGCAGUGAAAUGCGUAGAGAUCGAUAAGGAAGACCAGUGGCGAAGGCGGGUCUCUGGACAGUUACUGACACUGAGCACGAAGGCCAGGGGAGCAAACGGG